CCCUGGAUGGUGCAAAUGGUUAACACACUUGACUGCUAACCAAAAGACUGGAGGCUCGAGUCCAUCCAGGGA
rnacentral:tRNA from 1 species